GAUGAAGAACGCAGCGAAAUGCGAUAAGUAAUGUGAAUUGCAGAAUUGCAGAAUUCAGUGAAUCAUCGAAUCUUUGAACGCACAUUGCGCCCCUUGGUAUUCCAUGGGGCAUGCCUGUUCGAGCGUCAUUUGUACCCUCAAGCUUUGCUUGGUGUUGGGCGUUUUGUCCCGCGUUUCUGCGUGGACUCGCCUUAAAGCGAUUGGCAGCCGGCAUAGUGGCCUUGGAGCGCAGCACAUUUUGCGCUUCUUGUCAUGAAUGCAGGCGUCCAUCAAGCCUAUACAUUUUGCUCUUGACCUCGGAUCAGGUAGGGAUACCCGCUGAACUUAAGCAUAUCAAUAAGCGGAGGA
rnacentral:misc_RNA from 1 species